UUUCGUAAAACGUCGGCAAAAGUUAGUGCUAAGCCAACGAUAUGUAAAGGUCGACAAAGGGUCAUUUUUUUGACGCCAUUGUAAAAUGCAUCGGGAAAGAUUAGAGAUCUACCGACAUUGAAGAUGCGUCGGCAAUAGUGUACUUUUUCCGAUGCUAUGUAAAAAGCGUGGGAAAAACAUACGCCGACAGGCCUACGUCGACGCUUUCGCCUACGCUUUUACCUUCRUCGCCAUGGACUUUUACCGRCGCUUAAAGGGUCUUUCUCGAAUUCUUUUAAUUUCAAUUUGAAUUGCAUUCUUUUCUGUGAUGGUGAUUUCAUAUGUCACCGUGUUAUGAAGACUCUGAAAACAUSUAUGGUGGUGGUGUUUAUGAUUUUACUACUGAUCAAAGAGGACUGGAAAGUAGAGUUUUUGUUUAAGUUUUGAGUUUUGGUUGAAAGGUUGAAGAACAGAGCUCUGUUGGUAGAUAUUGAAUGUGGGAAUGGAGGUGGGCAUAAAUUUUUGUGAUAGGUUUGUGACAAUAAAUAUUUGCAAUCAUACUUUAUUUUGGGUUACUGUAAAAUGAACAAAAAUGGAUCUACAUAGGUUUGAUUUUCCUUGGAAUACAUAUGUGUGUUCUUCAAAAUUUUCAUUGUCAUCCUAGAAGCUGUUGUUGUUGAGCCUAUGAUUUUAUAAUGGUUAUCUUGUAAAAUUGGUUAUUUACUCGACUAAGAUUUCAUCUUAAUCAUCUCUUAUUAAUAUGAUUUCAUAAGGCACACGAAUAAUAAGAAUUAUUACUAAAUUAGAGUCGUCUGAUGAUUCAUACUUUUCCAGUGUGGUUGAAUAUGUAAUUGUUAUGGUCACAUAGAUUGGUAUUUUUACAACUUCAAGCAUAUAAUAGAAGAAAUGAAAGACAAGUUAUAUAUUGAUAGUCUAUGCCACUUUCUGGGAUUCAGGUAUGAAUGAUUGAAUGAUUUUUUUGGUUCUUCUUAUCCUUAACUUUAUUGGAUUCACAAAGUUCUUAGGUUAACAAUUGUUUUUGCUUGUAAUGUUUGUUUCCGGUUUGAUUAAGUGGCUUUUGGUUCACAUAUAAAUWUACAAAAGUUUAAUAGAGCUUAACUGAGGUGCAAUAAAGCUACUAAUUUACUUGGCUCGAGUGAAUAAUUUGGAAGGAUUCAUUCCGUAAUUUAGUUUACAAUUUUUGUUGAGAAAUUAUAAAAGGGAUAGGUUAAUAGUUCUAUUCAUUGACCUUAUAUGUAGAGUUGGACUUGGUUAUGUCAAGUUUUACUUUGAAGAAAAUGAAAUGUUUUUAACCUCUCUUAUGCUAACAAUUGGUAAGGAAUAAGAGAGUUGGAGAUUUAAUUUUAAGCGUGAUGAACUCAAUACUUAAUCAUGUAAUAUAAUAUGUUGGUAGAUUGAAUUAAAUCAUUUUUUUGUUUCAGAUGAAGUUACAGAGUAAAAUAACUUACUUGCCCAAAUGGAGUAAAAGAACUCUACCAAAUUAGAGAAAGUCACUUUGGUUGGACCUGAGAGGACUGUUCAAGUUGCCUUAGUCAAGACCUCUAUGUUGGAUGAUUUAUAGAAUAAAAAUUAGAAGUUCAUGAAAUAUAUGGAGAUUUGCCAAGUAAUACUUAUGAUUAUGAUGCUUGAUAUUUGAGUGAGUGAGCCACUUCAUCCAUCAUCAUUUCUGUCGUUUUAUAAGGUGGAAUUUUAUAGGUUUCUUGUCUAUUUUAGGAAGAAAAUAAAAUCUUGGACAAGAUGCAUAGGUAGAAGUUGCAGACGUUGAAAAAUUAACGUAAAUUAUGAGGGAACUAGAAAAGAUUGUUCUUGCUAGUGAUGCAACAGCAAAUUAUGCGAGGGAUUACCAGUGCAGACUUCAAGAGAUAGAAUGUAAUGUGCCUAAAUAUUUUAGUUAAAAGUGUCUUUUCUUUAACAUGUACUACUUAUGAAUCUUGGAUUGCAUUACAAAAAUAGUUGAGAUUUAUUUCUAUGUCCUUCACGAAGAAAGGAAAAACUUGACGAAGAGUUACUCUUGCCAAAGUAACAACCAUUUGACUGUACUUGUAGCAAAUGAAUGGAAAGAUGCAAUUGACAAGGUUAUGCCACUAAAAUAGACUAUUGGUACUAUAAACUUUUUACCAUUCGAGUUAUAUAAUUAUUAUGAAAAUGCCUAUAAUUUACUUCAAACCCCUUUGUUGAAGAAUCUUUUGGUAAUUUAUAUYGUAACAUUUGUACUUAUUUAGUUCAUYGUACCCACAAUUGGAAUUGUACAUUCUCUUAAAACAGAUUUUGAGAGAAGUCUUCUUUGAGGUUUCAUUUCWAACAUACAUCUCCUUUCUUCUAGCUAGCAGGAAUCUUUUUGGACACAAAAAUUCUCGAUGCAUCUUCUCAAUCAUCCAUGAUAAGAUAUGCAAAUGCAGUUGAAUUAUAUGAAUGAACUCCAUGAUCAGUUGAUGUGAGUUUAAAAGGAACGUCCAUUUUUUGGAUUUCUAGCAGCUAAGUCAUGGGAAGCCUCCUAAUAAUGUUCAGAUACGGAUGAAUGGAAUGAGAUGCUGAAGUAGUGACAAUGCUUGGUCGCCAAAAUUAUUGGGAUUGUCUGAUGAAUUGGCAGAUUUCCACAAACAUGCUGAUUUUGACGAGGUCUUGCAAUUAGUACGACAUCAUUUAGUUAUGUUUAUAGUGGUGGUAGUGUUGGUGUGUU